rnacentral:rRNA from 1 species
GACGAACGCUGGCGGCGUGCCUAAUACAUGCAAGUAGAACGCACAGUUUAUACCGUAGCUUGCUACACCAUAAACUGUGAGUUGCGAACGGGUGAGUAACGCGUAGGUAACCUGCCUGGUAGCGGGGGAUAACUAUUGGAAACGAUAGCUAAUACCGCAUAAUAUUGAUUAUUGCAUGAUAAUUGAUUGAAAGAUGCUAUUGCAUCACUACCAGAUGGACCUGCGUUGUAUUAGCUAGUAGGUGAGGUAACGGCUCACCUAGGCGACGAUACAUAGCCGACCUGAGAGGGUGAUCGGCCACACUGGGACUGAGGCACGGCCCAGACUCCUACGGGAGGCAGCAGUAGGGAAUCUUCGGCAAUGGACGAAAGUCUGACCGAGCAACGCCGCGUGAGUGAAGAAGGGUUUCGGAUCGUAAAGCUCUGUUGUAAGAGAAGAACGGGUGUGAGAGUGGAAAGUUCACACUGUGACGGUAGCUUACCAGAAAGGGACGGCUAACUACGUG